UCAACCUAUCCUGGCGUUGUGAAGCAGAAUUCACCCAGUGGUGGGUUGUCCACUCACUGAUAGGGAAUGUGAGCUGGGUUUAGACCAUCGUGAGACAGGUU
rnacentral:ncRNA from 1 species